rnacentral:lncRNA from 1 species
ACAACCCGUACUCUAAUAUCAUUUGGCAACUUGCCAUUCAUGCCACCAACCAAAGGAAGAAGGAACUCACCUUCGUACCACCAACCAAGUGAUGAAAGCAACUCACCAUUCAUUCCACCUACCAAAAGACGAGUGGUACAACUUGUACAUGUGAACUCCUAGCAUUCACAAAUAAUAAAAAACCAUCAAGCUUGACAACUCAACUAGAGGAGCACUUAUGCCCAACAAGAGUUAUAGUCACCAACAAAGUCUUAUUGCAAACCAACAACAACUUCAAUGCUUGGCAUACGAAGAUCAAGCUAUUCAGCCCUCUUGCAUCUGCUUCAAACAUUUCCCCUCUGUAACAAUGCAAACACUACAACUCGUAGAAAACUUCACACACUCUUGAUCAAGACAGUGUGAAGCAAAACCAAUUUAUGGUGCCAACAAGAGCUU